AUCCCCUUUUAGCUCAGUGGUCGAGCGCUGGCUUUGGAAGCCACAGGUCGGUGGCUCGAGCCCACCAGGGCACA
rnacentral:tRNA from 1 species